ensembl:lncRNA
UUUUUUUUAAAGCCGAGAAAUUUGCCGUGUUUGAUAGCUAGCUGCGAGACCUCACACCGUGCACAUCUACUGCGGGUGUGGUGCCUGUUAUCGGACCUGGAGUUAGCAACAUCCCCCCAAAAGAGUAGAGUCCUGCCCCUAGCCCUGUCAGCAUAGCAGAAAUGAUGAGGAUGAUGAUGUCAGCAGCAGCCGUUCUCCUCUGCGUGGGUACAGCGUGCAAUGCAGGGAGGCAGGCAGGAGAGACUGGCCGUUUGAAAAGGGAGAGGUUACCGGCAGCUGAAAACUGGAAUCCAGGAGAGCUUGGUAGGUGGGUUCCAGAUGCUGACGAGAAAACAGAAAUAAGGUAAGUACACACGAUGAUUCACCAAGGAACAGACGUGAGGCCGAGAACUGACUAAAGUUGGCAGAUAAUCUGGCGAAGACUAGUUGUGUGCGCAGGUGAUAAAUACUGCCGGUAUGAUUGCCAUCAGGUGAGGAACAACAAAGACUCCGCCCAGGGGGGGAGGAGCGGAUGCUGUGGAAAACUACCCAGACCAUGACAAUUAUUAAUUUAGUUUUACCUAAUAUUUAUUGAUUGUAUUCUUAUUCAUUUUUUAUCUUCUUACUCUGUUUAUACUUAUAUUUAUAUUGUAUCCCACUCUUAUUUAUUUUAUCUUUUUAUCCUGUUUAUAUUCUUAUUAGGUUAUAUCUCCAGUGUUUCCUCGGAGG